rnacentral:rRNA from 1 species
UUUCCGGGGGUUUGGGCAGUGGAGACAUUGUCCUUCAGUUAGGCUGGCCCCAGAACAGGUGCUGCAUGGCUGUCGUCAGCUCGUGUCGUGAGAUGUUGGGUUAAGUCCCGCAACGAGCGCAACCCUCGCCCUUAGUUGCCAGCAUUUAGUUGGGCACUCUAAGGGGACUGCCGGUGAUAAGCCGAGAGGAAGGUGGGGAUGACGUCAAGUCCUCAUGGCCCUUACGGGCUGGGCUACACACGUGCUACAAUGGUGGUGACAGUGGGCAGCGAGACAGCGAUGUCGAGCUAAUCUCCAAAAGCCAUCUCAGUUCGGAUUGCACUCUGCAACUCGAGUGCAUGAAGUUGGAAUCGCUAGUAAUCGCAGAUCACCAUGCUGCGGUGAAUACGCUACCGGGCGCUGUACACACACCGA